GACGAACGCUGGCGGCGUGCUUAACACAUGCAAGUCGAACGGAAAGGCCCUGCUUUUGUGGGGUGCUCGAGUGGCGAACGGGUGAGUAACACGUGAGUAACCUGCCCUUGACUUUGGGAUAACUUCAGGAAACUGGGGCUAAUACCGGAUAGGAGCUCCUGCUGCAUGGUGGGGGUGGGAAAGUUUCGGCGGUUGGGGAUGGACUCGCGGCUUAUCAGCUUGUUGGUGGGGUAGUGGCUUACCAAGGCUUUGACGGGUAGCCGGCCUGGGAGGGUGACCGGCCACAUUGGGACUGAGAUACGGCCCAGACUCCUACGGGAGGCAGCGGUGGGGGAUAUUGUACAAUGGGCGGAAGCCUGAUGCAGCAACGCCGCGUGCGGGAUGACGGCCUUCGGGUUGUAAACCGCUUUCGCCUGUGACGAAGCGUGAGUGACGGUAAUGGGUAAAGAAGCACCGGCUAACUACGUG
rnacentral:rRNA from 1 species